rnacentral:rRNA from 1 species
CCUAGGGGUGGCAGCAGUGGGGCAUCUUGCACAAUGGGGGAAACCCUGCUGCAGCGACGCCGCGUGCGUGAAGAAGUAUUUCGGUCCGUAACGCUCUAUCAGCCGGGAAGAAAAUGACGGUACCUGACUAAGAAGCCCCGGCUAACUCCGUGCCAGCAGCCGCGGUAAUUCGUAGGGGGCAAGCGUUAUCCGGAUUUACUGGGUGUAAAGGGAGCGUAGACGGCAGCGCAAGUCUGGAGUGAAAUCCCAGGGCUUAACCAUGGCACUGCUUUGGAAACUGUGCAGCUGGAGUGCAGGAGAGGUAAGCGGAAUUCCUAGUGUAGCGGUGAAAUGCGUAGAUAUUAGGAGGAACACCAGUGGCGAAGGCGGCUUACUGGACUGUAACUGACGUUGAGGCUCGAAAGCGUGGGGAGCAAACAGGAUUAGAUACCCCUGUAGUC